AUUUCACGUUUGUUCUUAUUUAUUUAUUUUUGCCAUUUCUCUAUGUAAAACAUAAUUUUUACACUUCUUUAUGCUACUUUAGACACAUUGUAUCUUGACCAUCAACAAGGUGCCGCAAUGAAAAAAAAACAGGUGAAUCAUAAAUUCUCCUCAGGCCAAAAGAUUUGGAGUUGCACACAUUCUAGUAUAAACUGAAGUCCAAAAGUGAUGAAGAGCGAUCUCAAGAGCUUCGCGGUUGUCUGGUUGAGGUUGUCCAUAUCCACCAGUGUUGCUCCAAUCGCCAGAAUUGCGUUGAGUGGUUGACCCAAUCUUAGCACCGGAACCGGACCAGAACCAUCCGUUAAUAUUCUGCGGCUGCAGAUCGGGCCGAUCGCAGCCAUUAAAGUUGCACUUGCGUCCAGAUGUCCAGAUAUACCUCACAUUUCCUGUCGCAAAUUCCAAUCGCUAAUUAUAUCAUGAACACACACGAAUAUACAUGCGCCAUUAAUGGAUCCAACCAGAAAUCAUGAUAUUCACAUUCUCAGACGAUUGGAGCCUCGUUAUGUCGAAAGUUGGUCAUCUCGUCGGCUAAAGUAAGCCCCGAUAUUCGCUCAGAAAUAAUCUCGCGUACGAGUACACGAGAACGUCGAGAGGUCAAGAGCGAUCGCCCCAGGCAACUACAGCUCAUUGGGGGCGUCACGGACUACUUCUGUUUUUCGCCACGGAAAAAGAUCAGAAAACAGAUGCCAGGAAAAAAGAUCAGAAAACAGAUGCCAGGAAAAAAUAUCAGAAAACAGAUGCCCCGAAGAUUGCCGACAACUUGGCAAGUUAUUUUUCGAAGCGACGGUCAAGUGAAAGUGGGUUGGUUCGACCAGUCGUCUUUUACUUGCAUCCUCUGCAUCUGCAGGUGUGCUAUGCACAUGCACAAGGAUGUAACUCACACGUGACCGUAAAAACUGCAGAAAUGUCCUUCGCUCGUCGUUGAGUGAAAAUAAGGUACAUUUACCUGGUUAAAAUGCGGCAUAUAAGGAGAUCCCAGGAAUAGCCUUACCUUCUACGGUAUAGAUUGUAUGCAAAUGGUAUUAAAUUAUUGUCAACAACAAUCUGACGGAUAUCCACAGCGAUUAUUAGCCCUCUUAUAUUUCUUAUACUUAGAGAACAAAUUUGGUUCAUUGGACAAAAUCGUUAGACUGCAUUUCGUUAAUUUCAGAAUUUCAGUUCACUUGAGCGAACUAGUUUGUCUCGAUCAAAGUGUCAGUUAAAUCGUUUUGCUAAUCUUAGAUAAUA